rnacentral:lncRNA from 1 species
GAGGGCUCCGGGCAGGAGAUGACGGCAGUGUGCUCGCUGCCUAGUCCUCUGCGAGCACCGGCUUCCUUCUCCUCGCAGCCGGAGCUGCAAACCUAGCAGGCGCCUUCCUACUCCACCAAAAGUUAUCUUCCACUUUGGAUAAGUGAUUACUGUGUGCUGGCCGUGAUUAGAUUGUAGGGGCUGGCGUCUCACAGAUGAUAAAGCGAAGCACAGAAACUUAAGUUUUGAGUUCAAGAGACCAGUCUGGAAGUACAGGGAGAGGGAAGAUGGAUUCUUAUUUCCCAGCAAAGAACUCAACUCUUGCUGUUAAUAUGAAUGAGACUUUGUCUGCCAGUCAUGGCUUUAAUUCCACCAGUGACCCACCUCCGAUGUCAAUAACCAGGCUCUUCCCAGCGUUACUCGAGUGCUUUGGCAUCGUCCUUUGUGGGUACAUAGCGGGAAGGGCCAAUGUCAUAACAUCCACACAGGCCAAAGGACUGGGAAACUUCGUCUCCAGAUUUGCCCUCCCAGCUUUAUUAUUCAAAAACAUGGUUGUGCUUAAUUUUGCCAAUGUGGAUUGGGCUUUUCUAUAUAGCAUCCUAAUUGGCAAGGCCUCUGUAUUUUUCGUUGUAUGCGUGUUAACCCUGUUGGUUGCCAGUCCUG